CAGUCGCCGCGGGAAUACGUAGGUGGCAAGCGUUGUCCGGAAUUAUUGGGCGUAAAGGGCUCGCAGGCGGUUUCUUAAGUCUGAUGUGAAAGCCCCCGGCUCAACCGGGGAGGGUCAUUGGAAACUGGGAAACUUGAGUGCAGAAGAGGAGAGUGGAAUUCCACGUGUAGCGGUGAAAUGCGUAGAGAUGUGGAGGAACACCAGUGGCGAAGGCGACUCUCUGGUCUGUAACUGACGCUGAGGAGCGAAAGCGUGGGGAGCGAACAGGAUUAGAGACCCCCGUAGUCCCUGUCUCUUAUCC
rnacentral:rRNA from 1 species